CGACGGCGGAAGUGGAGCUCGGGCCGCGCCGCCCGCCGCGAAAGCGUGGUUGGUUGCGGGUGCGGAGCAGUCCCGCGGGAGGGCGCGCCGGGUGCGAGGCCCUCCCCGGCCCUCCCCGGCCCUCCCCGCCCUGUGGAGGCUCCUCGCCGACCCCCGGUGCCCGCCCGUUUCCACGCACCCACUGGGCGCGAGGGGCGGAGGCCCAGCCCCGGCCACGCAUCGUCGAGAGGCCGCCGCGGGGCCGGGCCAAGCGGGCGGGCCCGCGCGUGCUCCGCGCCCCGCAGGUGUCCGAGGGUCCGCAGGUGUCCCGACUCCUCCCCACGUCGGGAUGGCCGUCACAAUCUCGGCGGGCGACGCGAGGACCUCCGAGGGAAGGGGCGAACGCAGAGAGACUGCGGUCCUCCGUGGGACUUGCCACCCGCCCUCGCAGGCCCCCGGGGCGGCCGCUUGGCUCCGACCGCGGGCGCAGGUCGUGGCGGGGCGACUUCCCGAAGUUGUGCGCGGCCAAGGGAUCGGUCUCCUCCAGGGCCCGUGUGUGCGGAGACGGCGAGCAUCGGCUGCAGAGCUCGGGGGAGGGACUCCGCCUUUUCAGAUCCGCUAGAGGGCAGGGCUACACCUGCUGAGCUCGACCGCUUCCGCCACCAAGAACCCGACGGCAGAAGUCCUCCCUUGUGUGCUAGAGGUAUUUUUCUCCAUUCACACUUUUUCUCAUUAAAAAAAACAACAGCAACAAGAACAAAAAAACUUGCCCCUUAUCUCAGAUCCUGUAACAUGUUCUCUGACCACAUGUUCGAUGUCAAAAUAGUGGUUAUUUCUUUUUUUUUUUUUUUUUUCAUGAUAGGCACACAGUGAGAGAGAGAGAGGCAGAGACACAGGCAGAGGGAGAAGCAGGCUCCAUGCACCGGGAGCCCGACGCGGGAUUCGAUCCUGGGUCUCCAGGAUCGCGCCCUGGGCCGAAGGCAGGCGCUAAACUGCUGCGCCACCCAGGGAUCCCUCAAUGUCAAAAUAAACAACCGAACCGAGUUACCUGUGUUGCCCA
rnacentral:lncRNA from 1 species